CUUAAAUGAGAAAAGGGGGUGUAGAUCAAACUUAGUGCUAAUAAGUGACUGGGCAAAGCCCAAGUGGAAAUGGGGUAUGAAGAUGAGAAAUAGGGGUGUGGAUGAGAAUAGGGUCUCGAGGCCCAGAAGAAAAAAGAAUGGGGUGCCUGAAUGAGAAACGGGGGUGCAUAUGUGGAAGGCAAAGCUGUAAGAGAGAGUUUUAUUCUUUUUUUGAUGAUUUUUUUUAGUUGGAUCAGAAGCUUAGGCCUAAGGCCUUUUUUGCUUCUUAGGUCAAAAAAAACCCUAGGGGUCCUCACAUCCUCAUCCCAUUCCAUCAUUUACAUUAUGUGAGACCCAGGACUCCUUUCUGCCACUCACCCGCUCAGCCCCUGCCCCACUCCAAAUGGCCACUGCGAGCUGCUGUCCACGGCGUCGCCGGCGACACCACGCCCCACCAGAGCCACGUCGGCCACUCGCGCACUCACCGCCCUCUCUCUCUGCUUCGAAAACGGUAACCCAGGGAAGGGUUUGCCUCUGCUGCCUGCCUGUUGCCGCCAGUCGUCGCCUCCCGAACCAUAAGCCAAGGUCGCCCCGACGAUGGGCUUGCUACCGGAACCGUCGUCGUCGAGACCGUCACCGGCCGCCUCCCCAACUCCUACCCUCUUCCUUUUUCGCGUGCGAGGGAGGAAGUCGCCUCUCACCUUGUGACGUCGCCGCUAUCCUCGCCGGAGACGCUUCCUCACCGGUACCACCAGCGUCGUUCUCCUUCACCAGCGGUGAAACCCUUUCACUUUUCCGGCACGUGAAUCAGAAACGAAACCCAAUCCCGAACAUUGCGUCAUCUGAUAUCCACACCCUCGCUAACUGUCCUUUUUUUUUAUCAUUUGUAUUGUGAUGGGUUUUUCUAGUUCUGAUUACCAAAAUGGGUUGGCGAAAUAAAGAUGAUGGGAGACCUAAUGGAUGUUAGGAGAUGACUGAGUGUGAUAACCUGUUCUCUGUUGUUUUUUUUUAGGUGUCGAACAAAAGGACAUCACAAGGCUAUGUUUAAGGUGUUGAAAUGGGUUCUUUUGUAGAGGAGAAUAACGAAAAAUUGAGGACAAUUUCUUCUUCUCAUUGAGAGGGUGAUGGAGAGUUAUUUCUUCUUGCAGGAAAACAACAUUAGGGAUUUCGGUAGAAUAAGUCAAGGUUGAAGAUGACGAUGGGAUUGUGUAUGGGAGACAUUAGUUUGCAGGUUUGUGGUGAGGCUUAGGAGGGUGGCAAACAGUAUGCGAAGCCAUAUCAUCGUCAAACCAAAUGGCAUCAAAUAGGAGCAUAUAUCACGCAACAUGAACAGUAUGCGAAGACAAAUCAUCAUCAAAUAGAAACACACAGAAGCAUAUAUCACCCAGCACAAACAUAGAACAACUAUUUACCAUCCAAGAAUGCAGACAUUUAUAACAAUGAAGCUCCAAGAAGAGGAAGUUACCUCUCGCGUUUAUGUUUUCUCCUCUUUACAAUUUAUUGUACCCUUUUUCUUUCUCUUAGCUAUCUGACUUUGUGCUUUCUCUAUCUUGCUAGUGAAGAAUUGAUACCUGACAAUGGUUGAUGUUGGAGGUAAUGAUAACAGAAAAUGUGGAAGAGGUUGGGAUGUGGGGAUGGUUUUUUUUUUUUUUAUGAUGAAGUUGCUAAGAAAUUCUCUGUUGAUUGAAUGGAGUUGAGAGUCUUGUAGUUUGAAUGAUGGAUCUUUUUCUUUUCUUCGUGUCUCCUCUCUUAAUGAAUGAAACCCUUUCAAAAACAAAA